UUCUAGUCAGCAGCAGGCAGGCAAACUUAUGGUACUUUCAAACAAGAAAUUGUGAAGACUUUCAGAGUAACAAAGAAUGGCCUGUGGAAUAAUGCUUCAUCAGCAGAAGAAAAAUUACCAAGACGAACAUGGUCCCUAAACCUUAUCUACUGCCAUAAACUUGAUACCACUGCGCCAUCUACACCAAUGUUCUACUGAGGUCUCAGAGAAUGGAGUUUCACAUGCAUUUGGUGAUGUUUGAUUGAUUUAACUGCUGUCCUGUCAACUCUAUCUUUGUGAGGUAUGCCAUCCUCUAAACAUUAGCUCUUUUUUAUACCACCAUGUUUAUAUGCCUGUACAGUCAAAACACAUUGGAUACUUCAUUGGCAUCAAUCUAGAUAAUGUGAAAUUUUUUCCCAUUGGAAACUGUUUAUUUCUAUCAAUAGCAGUUAAGGAAUAAAAUUCAUUUGACAUACA